UGGGGAAUAUUGGACAAUGGGCGCAAGCCUGAUCCAGCCAUGCCGCGUGAGUGAUGAAGGCCCUAGGGUUGUAAAGCUCUUUCACCGGUGAAGAUAAUGACGGUAACCGGAGAAGAAGCCCCGGCUAACUUCGUGCCAGCAGCCGUGGUAAUACGAAGGGGGCUAGCGUUGUUCGGAUUUACUGGGCGUAAAGCGCACGUAGGCGGACUAUUAAGUCAGGGGUGAAAUCCCGGGGCUCAACCCCGGAACUGCCUUUGAUACUGGUAGUCUUGAGUUCGGGAGAGGUAAGUGGAAUUCCGAGUGUAGAGGUGAAAUUCGUAGAUAUUCGGAGGAACACCAGUGGCGAAGGCGGCUCACUGGCUCGAUACUGACGCUGAGGUGCGAAAGCGUGGGGAGCAAACAGG
rnacentral:rRNA from 1 species